rnacentral:rRNA from 1 species
GAUUUCUGGUUUAAUGCACCUGGCCCGCGGCCACUAGGCUUGUGAGUGCCGGCGCGCGUUUACCAUCCUUCUAGAAAACGAUUCUGCCAUUCACUUGGUCGGGAUCGCGAUCUAGAUCUUUUACUUUGAAAAAAUUAGAGUGUUUAAAGCAAGCUUUUGCUAUGAAUACAUUAGCAUGGAAUAAUAAUUUAGGACUUUAUUCCUAUUUUAUUGGUUUCUAGGAGUAAAGUAAUGAUUGAUAGGGAUAGUUGGGGGUGCUAGUAUUGGCCGGUCAGAGGUGAAAUUCUUGGAUUCGGUCAAGACUAACUUAUGCGAAAGCAUU